CUGCAUUGGAAGGCGAAGUCUUAACCACUGGACCACCAGAAACUGCUCAGUCUCCCGCCUCUGUGAAGUUUGCCCAUCUGUCUGGAAAAAGGCAGUUCAGGCCAUGUUUUUCCCAAGCAAUAGAAAAAACCAGUCUCAACAAAGCGAGAAGUUUGUCCUAAGAAGCUGGAAGUUUACUUAAGAGGUAUUUCAAGAACCUAUGUCUUCGAAAGUGGGGGAAUUUUUCUUGGAGUAUACCUGCACCAGUAUGUCCACCUUGAUUUAAUCGUAUGGGGGUAGACAAGUCUUGUUCAUAAAGUGUGUCAAGCUCGAGGAAGAAAAGGUAAGAAGAUGAGUUUAUUAGACCUUGGAAAACAAAACAAACAAAACACCACAACUGAGCAAGCAACCUCAUCCACCUGUGGUUCCCUCCGUGGCUGACACUUUACAUUCCCAUAGCAUUUUCCUUGUAUAUCUCACUUAGCAUCUAUCUUUUGUUAAAGGGCUUCUUGAUUUUGUUUGUUUUUAAAGCUGCUGUUCUAUCAGGUUGUAAAUGCCUGGAGAGGAGGAUCUCCAGACAUCCUGCCUUGUUUUCUUCACAGUCAGGGAUGAUAUUCAAGAUAGUUAACACCCAGUACAGAACAGGAACCAACCAAAUCAAAUGGACACUGGUCUUGGCAAUUUGUACAGCCACACUGGUGUAUACAGCUGAGUAUGUUUUCUGCACAUAGAAGGCUUCCAAUAAACGACUGUUGGAUUGAA